UUCAUUCGAUAAGUAGUGUUUUACUUCGUAAAUAUUAUGAUAAAAAGGAAAAUGUCGCGCUGGUUCUCAUUUUGGAGAGUGCAGACAAAGCUCGAAGAAUGUACCGGGCCGUUCUCUGUUGGUUGCAGCGAUUUUAUGUGUGCAAAAGAUGAAUCUACAGGUUUUUCUACUGAAGGUGGUAGCUUUAUACGUUUCUUUUACCCAGCGGAGAAGACGGCUGGAACAUUGGAUGAAUCAAAAAGAUGUUUUUGGAUUCCUCGUCAAGAAUACGCAUCAGGGCUUGUAAACUUCAUGAAACUUCCAGGUUGGGUUUUAGGAAGAUUUUUCUACUGGUGUGUAGGUAGCUUGCAGAUCCCUGCAAUAUACAAUGCACCACUUUGUAAACCUGCUGGAGAGGACCAGUUGUUACCUUGUGUUAUUUUUUCACAUGGCCUGGGAGGUAACAGGUUAAUCUACAACACUUACUGUUGUGAGUUGGCAUCCCAAGGAUGUCUAGUGGCAUGUGUAGAACACAGAGAUGAAUCAGCCUCUGCUACAUACAUUCUAAAGAAGAAUGAUGGAGAUGGGAAUAUGACAGAGGAAUGGAUCCAGUACCACCAUCUCCAAGAAAGUGAUAAUGAGUUUGAAUUUCGAAACAGGCAGGUUCACAUCAGAGCAAAUGAAUGUGUAAGAGCCCAUAACAUUCUUGAAAACAUUCAGUCAGGACAUUUUCCAACAAAUUUGUUCCAGGAAAACUCUAUUUUACAACAGCUCAAGGGAAGACUGGACUUAAAAAGGGUUGCAAUGGUUGGUCAUUCAUUUGGAGGUGCUACUACUGUCCUAUCUUUGGCAAAGGACAAGCGAUUUAGGUGUGGUGUGGCUCUUGAUGUGUGGAUGCUGCCUUUAGGAAAAGGGAUAUUUAAUUAUGAUCUUGAUCAGCCUUUACUGUUUGUCAAUUCACAACAAUUUCAUUGCUGGGACCAAAACGUGGAUCCUCUUAAAAAGUUUAUUAGUAAUAAGCCAGGUUUGCUUUCUUGUCAUUGUUUAUUUUUUCCUCUUCUUCGAACUAAUUUCUCUAUUUCUUGGCUCGAGAGUAGAGUUUUACCUAUAAGAGCGCAUCUUCAUUAUGUUUAAUAAGACCAAAACACAGAAAAUCACAACAGCCAAUCAGAGCAAAGAAAAAUAGCUCAAGGAGCCAAUGGGAACGCAAAGUAAAUGAGAGCAAACUGUCCAAAGCGCGGGAAAAUAAACAAGACCAAUCAUAGCGAUAAGGUGGACAAGACAUAUGAACCAAUGUGACAUACCGUCAGUUCUGCCACCAUACAUACUGUACUGGACC
rnacentral:misc_RNA from 1 species